GAUUGUUUUAUUUUUUCAACUCUUCUAUUUAUAAAGGCAGCAACACAGUUUAUUUUCAUGGUUCAUUUUAAAUUUAGGUUUUCCACGUUAUUGAUACAUGUUAUGUACAAGACUGGAAUGUACUCAAGUUCAACAAAUAGAAAUGUUUAGACACGUUCCAUGGCAUGUAACAAUAAACGGUUCUCUGCAGUGUUUUUGAGUUCCAGUGAGGCAUUUUUUUUUCCAGAUUUUGGGUAUGGUUAUUAAAAUAAAAAUUAUAUUUGAUUUUACAAAUUUAAACAAAUAGAAAAUUGUUAAAAAAUGACUUCAGCGAACAAAAAAACUAAAAUUUUAAAAAGUGAACAUUUAAAUAUAUUUCUAAAAAUAUAAAUGAGUCUGUACAAAAUAUAUCAUUCUUCAAAACUUCUCUACAUUUGAAAUCUAGCAACCACAUAGGUGUGAGUUAAUGCCAGCCUGAAAUAGAUAGAGUUGUGAUGUAAAUUUAACCAAAACUUAUAUCAAAUUUGGACUAUUCAAUGUAUUUCCUCUGGAAAGUAUAGGAUAAGAAUCUCUUCUUGGGUGGCCUCCCAUACUUUAGUAAUUUAACGUUGACUAAAACUUCAUCUAGAAUAAGGCUGGUGCUAGCAUUUGAAUAAACCAUCGACUUCCACCUAUAAGAUGAGAUUGCUAGUUUGCUUUCUAUUCAACAGGCCUCCAAGUUUCAUCAAUGGCUGUGUGUUUUAUUCCUUGCUUCUAAGCAGUGAUGCCCUCAUGUCUAUGUUUUUGCUUUUAUAGAAAAAUGGAUGCUUAGGAAUUGAUGUUUAUUGUUUUGUGUGUGAAUGCAUUUUGGGUCAAAUGGAAUUUGUUUGAGGAACAAGUCUUCCCAGUUCCUGUGUGAAUUUACUGGAAUCACAUGAGAAGAUUUCUAGCAGUUUGAAAGCCACAGACGCAAAGAGUUGUUUCAUCUCCUUGGGAUGCUACAACAUCCUAAUUUUGGCAAAAAAAUAAGGGAAUGUCCUGUUUUCAUUUAAAAAGGGGAGUUGAAGGAGUUAGGGAGAUGGGUGCAGGGGGCGACAUCCCAUCUUUGUCUUUUGAAUGUUUUGGAUGGGUGUCUAGUCUCUGGAGACAUGUCCCUGAGGAACAUUAGUUUUCAGUGACAGCAAGAAUAUGCUAUGCAUGAUGAUGAUCUUAUUGAUGAGUAUAUCUCUUUGUAGCAUUAAUUGAGACAAGUUGGUCUUUAUGCAAAGCUGGCCAAUUUUGAGCUAAAUCAAAAUAAGAAAAUUAUCAAUGAUAAAUGAAUGAAGUUAUGUCUAUUGUUUA